GGUGGCUGGCAUAUCGGAGGAAUCACACAAAAGUGAAAUAAAACAUUCCACAUAGUAUAAAUUCCAACGAGGAUUGUGGAUAUUUUUAUUUUGGUCUCCGGCCUCGAAUCACCCCAAACAUCUUUUAUUUCACUUUUUGUGAAAAGUUCUUUUGCAUAACG